AUUGAACGCUGGCGGCAGGCCUAACACAUGCAAGUCGAACGGUAGCACAGAGAGCUUGCUCUCGGGUGACGAGUGGCGGACGGGUGAGUAAUGUCUGGGAAACUGCCCGAUGGAGGGGGAUAACUACUGGAAACGGUAGCUAAUACCGCAUAACGUCGCAAGACCAAAGUGGGGGACCUUCGGGCCUCACACCAUCGGAUGUGCCCAGAUGGGAUUAGCUAGUAGGUGGGGUAAUGGCUCACCUAGGCGACGAUCCCUAGCUGGUCUGAGAGGAUGACCAGCAACACUGGAACUGAGACACGGUCCAGACGCCUACGGGAGGCAGCAGUGGGGGAUAUUGCACAAUGGGCGCAAGCCUGAUGCAGCCAUGCCGCGUGUAUGAAGAAGGCCUUCGGGUUGUAAAGUACUUUCAGCGGGGAGGAAGGCGGUGGAGUUAAUAACUUCACCGAUUGACGUUACCCGCAGAAGAAGCACCGGCUAACUCCGUGCCAGCCGCCGCAGUAA
rnacentral:rRNA from 1 species